GGGCAGCAUAGAUAUCUACAUGGACAAGAACACCAUACAACAUGAGUGCAAUAAGCUAUAAUGCUUUCUCCACAAAUAAAAUACUGUGACACAGGGAUUCAACAAAUCAGCAAAUCCAACACAAGAGGAAUACAUUUCAAGG